AACGAACGCUGGCGGCAUGCCUAACACAUGCAAGUCGAACGAGACCUUCGGGGCUAGUGGCGCACGGGUGCGUAACGCGUGGGAACCUGCCCUUAGGUUCGGAAUAACUCCCCGACAGGCGUGCUAAUACCGGAUAAUGUCUUCGGACCAAAGAUUUAUCGCCUUUGGAUGGGCCCGCGUUGGAUUAGCUAGUUGGUAGGGUAAAAGCCUACCAAGGCGACGAUCCAUAGCUGGUCUGAGAGGAUGAUCAGCCACACUGGGACUGAGACACGGCCCAGACUCCUACGGGAGGCAGCAGUGGGGAAUAUUGGACAAUGGGCGAAAGCCUGAUCCAGCAAUGCCGCGUGAGUGAUGAAGGCCUUAGGGUUGUAAAGCUCUUUUACCCGGGAUGAUAAUGACAGUACCGGGAGAAUAAGCUCCGGCUAACUCCGUG
rnacentral:rRNA from 1 species